rnacentral:rRNA from 1 species
GAUGAACGCUGGCGGCGUGCCUAAUACAUGCAAGUCGAGCGAACGGACGAGAAGCUUGCUCCUCUGAUGUUAGCGGCGGACGGGUGAGUAACACGUGGAUAACCUACCUAUACGACUGGGAUAACUUCGGGAAACCGGAGCUAAUACCGGAUAAUAUUUUGAACCGCAUGGUUCAAAAGUGAAAGACGGUCUUGCUGUCACUUAUAGAUGGAUCCGCGCUGCAUUAGCUAGUUGGUAAGGUAACGGCUUACCAAGGCAACGAUGCAUAGCCGACCUGAGAGGGUGAGCGACCACACUGGAACUGAGACACGGUCCAGACUCCGACGGGAAGCAGCAGUAGGGAAUCUUCCGCAAUGGGCGAGAGCCGGACGGAGCAACGCCGCGUGAGUGAUGAAGGUCUUCGGAUCGUAAAGCUCUGUUAUUAGGGAAGAACAUAUGUGUAAGUAACUGUGAACAUCUUGACGGUACCUAAUCAGAAAGCCACGGCUAACUACGUG